rnacentral:rRNA from 1 species
GACGAACGCUGGCGGCGUGCCUAACACAUGCAAGUCGAACGAAGAGCGAUGGAAGCUUUCUUCUAUCAAUCUUAGUGGCGAACGGGUGAGUAACGCGUAAUCAACCUUCCCUUCAGAGGGGGACAACAGUUGGAAACGACUGCUAAUACCCCAUACGAUCUAAUCUCGGCAUCGAGGGUAGAUGAAAGGUGGCCUCUACAUGUAAGCUAUCACUGAAGGAGGGGAUUGCGUCUGAUUAGCUAGUUGGAGGGGUAACGGCCCACCAAGGCGAUGAUCAGUAGCCGGUCUGAGAGGAUGAACGGCCACAUUGGGACUGAGACACGGCCCAGACUCCUACGGGAGGCAGCAGUGGGGAAUCUUCCGCAAUGGACGAAAGUCUGACGGAGCAACGCCGCGUGAGUGAUGACGGCCUUCGGGUUGUAAAGCUCUGUUAAUCGGGACGAAAGGCCUUCUUGCGAACAGUUAGAAGGAUUGACGGUACCGGAAUAGAAAGCCACGGCUAACUACGUG